UGGGGAAUAAUGGACAAUGCGCGCAAGCGUGAUCCUGCUACGCCGCGUGAGUGAAGAAGGCUUUAGAGUUGUAAAACUCUUUUAGUGGGAAAGAUAAUGACGGUACCCACAGAAAAAGUCCCGGCUAACUCCGUGCCAGCUGCCGCGGUGACACGGAGGGGGCGAGCGUUACUCGGCAUUACUGGGCGUAAAGAGUGUGUAGGCGGUUUGGUAAGUUGAAAGUGAAAUCCCAGGGCUCAACCUUGGAACUGCUUUCAAAACUGCUAGACUAGAGUUGGAUAGAGGGUGAUGGAAUUUCUAGUG
rnacentral:rRNA from 1 species